rnacentral:lncRNA from 1 species
AAGGCCAUGGAAUUGAGUUGGCUGGAACAGAGGAUUAGACUGAAGGAAUAAUAGUCAAUACAGUUGGAAGAGCAAAAUUGCAUUUACAUCUUGAUUUGUAGAGUGCAGAUAAUGCCAUCCAAGGGAUUUCACAUUUCAUUCUCAGGAUUUCAAGAUCUCAGCAAAGUUUGGCUGAAAAAUUGUACUUGAAGUAGAAUCCUUUGACAGCACUGUAUUACCUAAACUGAACAAAACUGCAAUAAGUAGAGGAAAUCAGAACAGUACCGAAACAAGAUACUAAAAAGAACAACUAGUGGAUGGUUAGAUACCUAGAAAUAUCUGUCUUAUUUUCUGUUUGUUUUCUACCAUUUUUUUUAUUAUUUCAAGUUUAUGGUUGGGUAACUAGUCAAGAUAAUAAGUGU